UGGCCCCACUGUGCACCACACACUCCUUUCCCAGCCCAGGGGCACGCGAACAAAAUGAGGCUCAAGCUGACCAGGCCGAGCCGGAGGAACGCUGGGGCUUGGCAGCAGAAGGGAUGGGACCAGAGAGAAGGGUGUGGAGGAGACCCCAGUGAGGGCCAGGACAUUUCAGGUAAAGAGAGGUCAUAUCUCCGUACCUCACUUCCUGACACAAACAAGUUUUCACUGUUGUCAGCAACAAAGCCCUAAUAUAGCUGCGGAAGAGAAAAACUGCAUUGCAUUUUGCCUCCUGCAAGCAUCAUCAACAGUUACUGGAGGAACGUAAUUCCAGAAAGCUUGAAAGCCGUGGUGAUGGUAAUUAUGUAUCAAAUGCCUGGUUCUAUUUCUGUUAUUAUUGUUUUGUCAUUUCUGUUUUCCCAGCGAUCUGACUGAACUCGCAGAGGGACAAAUCCAGUUUUUCUUUUUGACUUUUGUCAAACUAAAUCAGGCCUGAUAGAAAACUCAUUGCUCUCCGGGGAAACAAAGUAGGAGCCACGAAAUGUCAUUUUAACAGAGCGUGGGUUUGGUGACUGUAGGAAAGGAUUUGAGGACGCUCCUUCUGUUCGGCUUCCUAUGUCAUGAGCACAGGCUCCACGCACGCACAGACACCACGGCUCCCGGAUGCUGUGGCUCCCCGAUCGGGGCUCCUGCAGCGCCAGAAGCCCCUCCGGGAUGCUUCGAGGGGCUCCCGGUGGGUGGAGGUACGGACGCCGCUGCGGCCGCCGCCGCCAGUCCUGCUGCUGUUGUUGCUGCUGCAGUCACGUGGGAGCCCCUUUAAGUUUCCAUAGAGAGGCCUCUCUGGUGUCACAUGAUGGACAUGAUAUAAUGAAACAACAUUGUGGAGAGGAAAGCAUUAGGGGAGCCCACGGCUACAAAAACAAGUGAGUGAGAAGAGGUGGGAGGAAGAGAAACUACGCCACCUCCCCUGCAGCCGAGUGCACGCAGCAGCCUGGCGUGACAAGUGGGCGACGCCGGGGGGCAGGGAGCCGGGGUCCUUGGCCCUGGCCGGGGACCCCACCGCCCACCGCGCGGAGGACAACUUUUAGCCGGCAGCCCAGACCAGCGCGGCACCUGUCUCCGGAGUCUCCACCGCUCCUCCCGAUUCAUCCCAGGGAAAUUCUCAAGAAUACGCUCUACAAAUCUACGUGCGCAUCAUUUUCACCUCGCGUCGCGCCCGGGAGGAAGGAACGAGGCAAGGAGCUAAAGCAGCGUGCGUUCAGCCCUGGGGCAUUUUAUUAAUGCUUUUACGAGUUAGAAGAGUUGGGAUAAUUUGCCAUCUGGAGUUUCUCUGCCUUGCUGAUCUGAGCUCAGACCUGCCAAUUUACCAGAGAUAAUUGAUAACACCCUGUAACAGCUGAGAGGAAAAUGGAAGAAACGGAGAUACUUUUAGUGAAGCAGAAUAAACCACUGAACAGAUGGAGUCUCACUCUGUUGCCCAGACUGGAAUGCAGUGGUGUGAUCUCAACUGACUGCAACCUCCGUAUCCUGGGUUCAAGCAACUCUCCUGCUGCAGCCACGAAAAAUGAGGAAGCUGUGAGUACCAGUGGAAGGAACGAGCCAGGAAGAGGGACUGGAACCAUCUCAGAAGCCAUGCCCCUCAGGCUGGAACUUGCCCUGUCUCCUCGCAGAUGAGCUACCUCUUGUGUUUAAGAAUUAAAGGAAGAUGAGCUAGGAAUCAAGAAAUACGCAGAACUGAUUCCUGUCACUGGCGCCACCCUGCCACUUGCCCAGAGCUGUGGUAUAAAUUUUUUUAAUAGGCUGAAAUAAAAAUAUGAAUAGCAUUUUGGUAUUAAGCAUUAAAUUGAUAAAGGCUAUGAGAUACACCUGCUCUCAACCAUGUUAAUUUUUUAUUAUUGGUAUUAAUAAAUUAUUACUUACUAACAUAUUAACAAGAAUUGCAUUGAGAAACAAAGCAUCCACAGGCCAAAUCUUCUGAAUUUCAAAUGUUUAUAUUAAUGCGUUGUAUUCUAGAAAAGUAGAAUUGUCUUAAGUAGCUUUGUAAUAUAAAGUCAUCUAUCAGCCCAUUACACCUAUUAGAAUGUUUUAACCUUUAUUUCCCACUUUUUUGUUUCUAGACUGAGUGUACUUGGUCUGGUAUUUGUGGCAUAACUUACGGAACACAUAAGAAUGAUACAGAUACUAUUUAAUGAUGACCUAAUACAAGCUUAGAUAGCUAAGGUGAAAGCUUCUAUGGCCUUAACAUUUUCCUCUUGAAGAAUGUAUUUUCUGUAAUAAAAUACAGUGGCUACUUGAAAUCUAUAAACUUAUGUGAGGUCUGGAUAAAUCUGAGCAACUUUCUUCUUUGUGCUCCAGGAACCUACGCACUAUAUAUAUAAAUAAAGCUUAAG
rnacentral:lncRNA from 1 species